AGUGAACGCUGGCGGUAGGCCUAACACAUGCAAGUCGAACGGCAGCACAGUAAGAGCUUGCUCUUACGGGUGGCGAGUGGCGGACGGGUGAGGAAUACAUCGGAAUCUACUUUUUCGUGGGGGAUAACGUAGGGAAACUUACGCUAAUACCGCAUACGACCUACGGGUGAAAGCAGGGGAUCUUCGGACCUUGCGCGAUUGAAUGAGCCGAUGUCGGAUUAGCUAGUUGGCGGGGUAAAGGCCCACCAAGGCGACGAUCCGUAGCUGGUCUGAGAGGAUGAUCAGCCACACUGGAACUGAGACACGGUCCAGACUCCUACGGGAGGCAGCAGUGGGGAAUAUUGGACAAUGGGCGCAAGCCUGAUCCAGCCAUACCGCGUGGGUGAAGAAGGCCUUCGGGUUGUAAAGCCCUUUUGCUGGGAAAGAAAAGCAGCAGGUUAAUACCCCACUGUUCUGACGGUACCCAAAGAAUAAGCACCGGCUAACUUCGUG
rnacentral:rRNA from 1 species